AUUGAACGCUGGCGGCAGGCCUAACACAUGCAAGUCGAACGAGUGGCGGACGGGUGAGUAAUGUCUGGGAAACUGCCUGAUGGAGGGGGAUAACUACUGGAAACGGUAGCUAAUACCGCAUACCAUCAGAUGUGCCCAGAUGGGAUUAGCUUGUUGGUGGGGUAACGGCUCACCAAGGCGACGAUCCCUAGCUGGUCUGAGAGGAUGACCAGCGACACUGGAACUGGGACACGGUCCAGACUCCUACGGGAGGCAGCAGUGGGGAAUAUUGCACAGUGGGCGCAAGGCUGAGACAGCCAUGCCGGGUGUAUGAAGGGGGCGUGCGGGUUGUAAGGUACUUUCAGCGGGGAGGCGUUACCGGCAGAAGAAGCACCGGCUAACUCCGUGCCAGCAGCCGCGGUAAUAC
rnacentral:rRNA from 1 species